rnacentral:rRNA from 1 species
UACGUAGGGACCAAGCGUUGUUCGGAUUUACUGGGCGUAAAGGGCGCGUAGGCGGCAAUUCAAGUCAUCUGUGAAAUCUCUGAGCUUAACUCAGAACGGUCAGAUGAUACUGCUUUGCUAGAGUGCAGAAGGGGCAACCGGAAUUCUUGGUGUAGCGGUGAAAUGCGUAGAUAUCAAGAGGAACACCGGAGGUGAAGACGGGUUGCUGGGCUGACACUGACGCUGAGGCGCGAAAGCUAGGGUAGCAAACGGG